rnacentral:rRNA from 1 species
CCAAUAGCGUAUAUUAAAGUUGUUGCAGUUAAAAAGCUCGUAGUUGAAUUUCGGGAUCGACGGGUCGGUCGCGCCUCUGGUGUGUACUGGCCCUGUCGGUUUCUCCCUUCUGACGAACUGCGAUGUCAUUAAUUUGGUGUCGUAGGGAAUCAGGACUGUUACUUUGAAAAAAUUAGAGUGUUUAAAGCAGGCAUUCGCUUGAAUACAUUAGCAUGGAAUAAUGAAAUAGGACGUUUGAUCUUAUUUUGUUGGUUUCUAAGAUCGACGUAAUGAUUAAUAGGGAUAGUUGGGGGCAUUAGUAUUCAAUUGUCAGAGGUGAAAUUCUUGGAUUUAUUGAAGACUAACUACUGCGAAAGCAUUUGCCAAGGAUGUUUUCAUUAAUCAAGAACGAAAGUUAGGGGAUCGAAGACGAUCAGAUACCGUCGUAGUCUUAACCAUAAACUAUGCCGACUAGGGAUCGGAUGAUGUUAAUUUUUUAAUGACUCAUUCGGCGCCUUACG